rnacentral:rRNA from 1 species
AGUGAACGCUGGCGGUAGGCCUAACACAUGCAAGUCGAACGGCAGCACAGUAAGAGCUUGCUCUUACGGGUGGCGAGUGGCGGACGGGUGAGGAAUACAUCGGAAUCUACUUUUUCGUGGGGGAUAACGUAGGGAAACUUACGCUAAUACCGCAUACGACCUACGGGUGAAAGCAGGGGAUCUUCGGACCUUGCGCGAUUGAAUGAGCCGAUGUCGGAUUAGCUAGUUGGCGGGGUAAAGGCCCACCAAGGCGACGAUCCGUAGCUGGUCUGAGAGGAUGAUCAGCCACACUGGAACUGAGACACGGUCCAGACUAAUACGGGAGGCAGCAGUGGGGAAUAUUGGACAAUGGGCGCAAGCCUGAUCCAGCCAUACAGCGUGGGUGAAGAAGGCCUUCGGGUUGUAAAGCCCUUUUGUUGGGAAAGAAAAGCAGCAGGUUAAUACCCCGCUGUUCUGACGGUACCCAAAGAAUAAGCACCGGCUAACUUCGUG